rnacentral:rRNA from 1 species
GAUGAACGCUAGCUACAGGCUUAACACAUGCAAGUCGAGGGGAAACGACAUCGAAAGCUUGCUUUUGAUGGGCGUCGACCGGCGCACGGGUGAGUAACGCGUAUCCAACCUGCCCACCACUUGGGGAUAACCUUGCGAAAGUAAGACUAAUACCCGAUGAUAUCUCUAGACGACAUCUGAAAGGGAUUAAAGAUUUAUCGGUGAUGGAUGGGGAUGCGUCUGAUUAGCUUGUUGGCGGGGUAACGGCCCACCAAGGCAACGAUCAGUAGGGGUUCUGAGAGGAAGGUCCCCCACAUUGGAACUGAGACACGGUCCAAACUCCUACGGGAGGCAGCAGUGAGGAAUAUUGGUCAAUGGGCGAGAGCCUGAACCAGCCAAGUAGCGUGCAGGACGACGGCCCUAUGGUUGUAAACUGCUUUAUAAGGGAAUAAAGUGAGUCUCGUGAGACUUUUUGCAUGUACCUUAUGAAUAAGGACCGGCUAAUUCCGUG